AUUGAACGCUGGCGGAAUGCUUUACACAUGCAAGUCGAGCGGCAGCGCGGGGGCAACCCUGGCGGCGAGCGGCGAACGGGUGAGUAACAUAUCGGAACGUACCCCGUCGUGGGGGAUAACACAGCGAAAGCUGUGCUAAUACCGCAUACGACCUGAGGGUGAAAGCGGGGGAUCGCAAGACCUCGCGCGAUGGGAGCGGCCGAUAUCGGAUUAGCUUGUUGGUGAGGUAAAGGCUCACCAAGGCGACGAUCCGUAGCUGGUCUGAGGAGACGACCAGCCACACUGGAACUGAGACACGGUCCAGACUCCUACGGGAGGCAG
rnacentral:rRNA from 1 species